UGAGCAAUCUGCCCUUCUCAUCGGAAUAAGCGUUGGAAACGACGUCUAAUGCCGAAUACGACCUCCUUUCGCAUGAUCGGAGGUGGAAAGCUCCGGCGGAGAAGGAUGAGCUCGCGGCCUAUCAGCUAGUUGGUGUGGGUCAUGGCCCACAAGGCGACGACGGGUAGCCGGCCUGGAGGGGGUGACCGGCCACACGUGGGACUGAGACACGGCCCAGACCUCCGUACGGGAGCAG
rnacentral:rRNA from 1 species